rnacentral:rRNA from 1 species
GAUGAACGCUGGCGGCGUGCCUAAUACAUGCAAGCCGAGCGAACAGACGAGGAGCUUGCUCCUCUGACGUUAGCGGCGGACGGGUGAGUAACACGUGGAUAACCUUCCUAUAAGACUGGGAUAACUUCGGGAAACCGGAGCUAAUACCGGAUAAUAUAUUGAACCGCAUGGUUCAAUAGUGAAAGACGGUUUUGCUGUCACUUAUAGAUGGAUCCGUGCCGCAUUAGCUAGUUGGUAAGGUAACGGCUUACCAAGGCAACGAUGCGUAGCCGACCUGAGAGGGUGAUCGGCCACACUGGAACUGAGACACGGUCCAGACUCCUACGGGAGGCAGCAGUAGGGAAUCUUCCGCAAUGGGCGAAAGCCUGACGGAGCAACGCCGCGUGAGUGAUGAAGGUCUUCGGAUCGUAAAACUCUGUUAUUAGGGAAGAACAAAUGUGUAAGUAACUAUGCACGUCUUGACGGUACCUAAUCAGAAAGCCACGGCUAACUACGUG